AGCAGCCGCGGUAAUUCCAGCUCCAAUAGCGUAUAUUAAAGUUGUUGCAGUUAAAAAGCUCGUAGUUGAAUUUCGGGGUUAGUAGGUUGGUCAUGCCUCUGGUAUGUACUGGUCUCACUGAUUCCUCCUUCCUGAUGAACCUUAAUGCCAUUAAUUUGGUGUUGCGGGUAAUUUGGACUGUUACUUUAGAAAAAUUGAGUGUUUAAAGCAAGCUAACGCUUGAAUACAUUAGCAUGGAAAUAAUAGAAAUAGGACGUUCGAUCCUUAUUUUGUUGGUUUCUAGGAUUGACGUAAUGAUUAAUAGGGAUAGUUGGGGGCA
rnacentral:misc_RNA from 1 species